GUAUGUCAGAUCACUCAAGGCAUGCAGAUACAUGAAUUCACAUUUCUACCACUUAAGAAAGUAUCAACAUCCUAUGCUGAAAAUGGACUAGAAGAUACUGCUAAUAAUAUUGGGUUUAUGUAAUAUGGCUGUACACCAGAUAUACUCAGGACAUAUUGAUACAUGAAUUACCAUUUCUACCACAUGGGAAAGUUUCAACAUCCUACGUUGAAAAUGGACUGGACGAUCCUGAUAAUUAUAAUAGUUUUAUGCAUAAUUGACGUAUGUCAGAUCACUCAAGGCAUGCAGAUACAUGAAUUCACAUUUCUACCACUUAAGAAAGUAUCAACAUCCUAUGCUGAAAAUGGACUAGAAGAUACUGCUAAUAAUAUUGGGUUUAUGUAAUAUGGCUGUACACCAGAUAUACUCAGGACAUAUUGAUACAUGAAUUACCAUUUCUACCACAUGGGAAAGUUUCAACAUCCUACGUUGAAAAUGGACUGGACGAUCCUGAUAAUUAUAAUAGUUUUAUGCAUAAUUGACGUAUGUCAGAUCACUCAAGGCAUGCAGAUACAUGAAUUCACAUUUCUACCACUUAAGAAAGUAUCAACAUCCUAUGCUGAAAAUGGACUAGAAGAUACUGCUAAUAAUAUUGGGUUUAUGUAAUAUGGCUGUACACCAGAUAUACUCAGGACAUAUUGAUACAUGAAUUACCAUUUCUACCACAUGGGAAAGUUUCAACAUCCUACGUUGAAAAUGGACUGGACGAUCCUGAUAAUUAUAAUAGUUUUAUGCAUAGUACGAGUAAUUGAUAUUGAAUAUAAUUGAUAGUCAAUUAAUAGUAGUGUAACAAAAAAUGGCUGUACACCAGAUAUACUCAGGACAUAUUGAUACAUGAAUUACCAUUUCUACCACAUGGGAAAGUUUCAACAUCCUACGUUGAAAAUGGACUGGACGAUCCUGAUAAUUAUAAUAGUUUUAUGCAUAAUGGCUGUACACCAGAUAUACUCAGGACAUAUUGAUACAUGAAUUACCAUUUCUACCACAUGGGAAAGUUUCAACAUCCUACGUUGAAAAUGGACUGGACGAUCCUGAUAAUUAUAAUAGUUUUAUGCAUAAUUGACGUAUGUCAGAUCACUCAAGGCAUGCAGAUACAUGAAUUCACAUUUCUACCACUUAAGAAAGUAUCAACAUCCUAUGCUGAAAAUGGACUAGAAGAUACUGCUAAUAAUAUUGGGUUUAUGUAAUAUGGCUGUACACCAGAUAUACUCAGGACAUAUUGAUACAUGAAUUACCAUUUCUACCACAUGGGAAAGUUUCAACAUCCUACGUUGAAAAUGGACUGGACGAUCCUGAUAAUUAUAAUAGUUUUAUGCAUAAUGGCUGUACACCAGAUAUACUCAGGACAUAUUGAUACAUGAAUUACCAUUUCUACCACAUGGGAAAGUUUCAACAUCCUACGUUGAAAAUGGACUGGACGAUCCUGAUAAUUAUAAUAGUUUUAUGCAUAGUACGAGUAAUUGAUAUUGAAUAUAAUUGAUAGUCAAUUAAUAGUAGUGUAACAAAAAAUGGCUGUACACCAGAUAUACUCAGGACAUAUUGAUACAUGAAUUACCAUUUCUACCACAUGGGAAAGUUUCAACAUCCUACGUUGAAAAUGGACUGGACGAUCCUGAUAAUUAUAAUAGUUUUAUGCAUAAUGGCUGUACACCAGAUAUACUCAGGACAUAUUGAUACAUGAAUUACCAUUUCUACCACAUGGGAAAGUUUCAACAUCCUACGUUGAAAAUGGACUGGACGAUCCUGAUAAUUAUAAUAGUUUUAUGCAUAGCACGAAUUGACGUAUGUCAGAUCACUCAAGGCAUGCAGAUACAUGAAUUCACAUUUCUACCACUUAAGAAAGUAUCAACAUCCUAUGCUGAAAAUGGACUAGAAGAUACUGCUAAUAAUAUUGGGUUUAUGUAAUAUGGCUGUACACCAGAUAUACUCAGGACAUAUUGAUACAUGAAUUACCAUUUCUACCACAUGGGAAAGUUUCAACAUCCUACGUUGAAAAUGGACUGGACGAUCCUGAUAAUUAUAAUAGUUUUAUGCAUAAUGGCUGUACACCAGAUAUACUCAGGACAUAUUGAUACAUGAAUUACCAUUUCUACCACAUGGGAAAGUUUCAACAUCCUACGUUGAAAAUGGACUGGACGAUCCUGAUAAUUAUAAUAGUUUUAUGCAUAAUUGACGUAUGUCAGAUCACUCAAGGCAUGCAGAUACAUGAAUUCACAUUUCUACCACUUAAGAAAGUAUCAACAUCCUAUGCUGAAAAUGGACUAGAAGAUACUGCUAAUAAUAUUGGGUUUAUGUAAUAUGGCUGUACACCAGAUAUACUCAGGACAUAUUGAUACAUGAAUUACCAUUUCUACCACAUGGGAAAGUUUCAACAUCCUACGUUGAAAAUGGACUGGACGAUCCUGAUAAUUAUAAUAGUUUUAUGCAUAAUUGACGUAUGUCAGAUCACUCAAGGCAUGCAGAUACAUGAAUUCACAUUUCUACCACUUAAGAAAGUAUCAACAUCCUAUGCUGAAAAUGGACUAGAAGAUACUGCUAAUAAUAUUGGGUUUAUGUAAUAUGGCUGUACACCAGAUAUACUCAGGACAUAUUGAUACAUGAAUUACCAUUUCUACCACAUGGGAAAGUUUCAACAUCCUACGUUGAAAAUGGACUGGACGAUCCUGAUAAUUAUAAUAGUUUUAUGCAUAAUUGACGUAUGUCAGAUCACUCAAGGCAUGCAGAUACAUGAAUUCACAUUUCUACCACUUAAGAAAGUAUCAACAUCCUAUGCUGAAAAUGGACUAGAAGAUACUGCUAAUAAUAUUGGGUUUAUGUAAUAUGGCUGUACACCAGAUAUACUCAGGACAUAUUGAUACAUGAAUUACCAUUUCUACCACAUGGGAAAGUUUCAACAUCCUACGUUGAAAAUGGACUGGACGAUCCUGAUAAUUAUAAUAGUUUUAUGCAUAGUACGAGUAAUUGAUAUUGAAUAUAAUUGAUAGUCAAUUAAUAGUAGUGUAACAAAAAGUUAGUGUCAUGAAAUCCAGACCAUUAGAUUAAGUAUAUGAUUCUUAUUUACCAUUUCCAACUUCCAUAUAUAUCAUAUAAGCUGAUACU